UGGUUAAAUGCAUAGUUUGUGGAGUUGUGAGAAGUUAUGCAUAACUAUCACCUUUCUAAACAGUACAAAAGUCACAAAACAUAUAUAAUUUGUGGAAAAUUAGGCCAGCUCUCCUUGCAUCUGUUACUUUCUUCAUAGUUGCAUUUCAUGUCUAAUUAGGCAGCUUUGCUGAUUAUCCCCAAUUUGUAAUUAGUACCUGUAUAUGCACUUGUUUUCAGCAAUAAAUUAAGAUAACUUACAAUAUGUAAUUUUACUUUCAUGUAAUGGGAUUUAGUGCAUGAUAGUACCAUUUAGUGUCAUAUACCAUUUUUCUUUUGUGACCUGUUGUAGUAUAGCCAACUACUCCUAACUUCUUCAGUUACUAGAUGCUAGGACAUGGUUACUUUUCAGAAAGUCUCAAACCUUAAACUCUACAAACAAGUGAAGUAUUUCAAGAACAAAAACAAAACUACAGGACUACAAUACAAAACAUUCAGUGCAUAGAUAAUAAAUGAGAAGAAAAUGAACUGUGAAGCGCCUUACAGAGAUGGGAAGUUAUUUUUAAUCACUUUCACUUGAACCCUCAAUUUUCUCCUAUAAUACAAACAAAAACCAUCCUGAAAUAAGAGCAGUAUAUAAGAGAGAGGAGAUAAAGAAACCCGAAUUGAAAAUGCCAGAGAGUAAUCUGUAAAUAGAUUAAUGAGACUAAACAUUUUCCAUCCUCCGAUGGCCCAACAAAUGAUAAAUUUGAAAGGCCAUCAACAAAUCAGUCCCAGAUCUUGUUCUGCGAGAUUUUAAAAUCACCGUCAUUACCAUAACUCGGUGUAGGUCCAGGAUAAUCCUUUGUUCCACAGUUUUGCAGUAGCGAGUUCCAGGACAAAAUUUCUAACAACUAAAUGCUUAACAAGUAACUUUUGGAUAAAUUAGCAGGACCAUACAUUAAAUGCAUUUUAACAAUCUUUAAUUGAUUCUACUAAUUAGUAGCUUGAGCGUACUUCUUACGCAUGUAUUUAUACAAAAUUUAAUUAAUACAACUCCCAACUGAUAAAAUCUGAUGUCCUGCGUUAAAUGCAAUUUGACAUAGUUCACAGUAAAAAUUUCUAA
rnacentral:lncRNA from 1 species